AGUAAAAGUCGUAACAAGGUUUCCGUAGGUGAACCUGCGGAAGGAUCAUUACCGAGUGAGGGCCCUCUGGGUCCAACCUCCCACCCGUGUUUAUUUUACCUUGUUGCUUCGGCGGGCCCGCCUUAACUGGCCGCCGGGGGGCUUACGCCCCCGGGCCCGCGCCCGCCGAAGACACCCUCGAACUCUGUCUGAAGAUUGUAGUCUGAGUGAAAAUAUAAAUUAUUUAAAACUUUCAACAACGGAUCUCUUGGUUCCGGCAUCGAUGAAGAACGCAGCGAAAUGCGAUACGUAAUGUGAAUUGCAAAUUCAGUGAAUCAUCGAGUCUUUGAACGCACAUUGCGCCCCCUGGUAUUCCGGGGGGCAUGCCUGUCCGAGCGUCAUUUCUGCCCUCAAGCACGGCUUGUGUGUUGGACCCCGUCCUCCGAUCCCGGGGGACGGGCCCGAAAGGCAGCGGCGGCACCGCGUCCGGUCCUCGAGCGUAUGGGGCUUUGUCACCCGCUCUGUAGGCCCGGCCGGCGCUUGCCGAUCAACCCAAAUUUUUAUCCAGGUUGACCUCGGAUCAGGUAGGGAUACCCGCUGAACUUAAGCAUAUCAAUAAGCGGAGGA
rnacentral:rRNA from 1 species